GACACAUUCUUCUCUUUCUAGGUGAACUCCUCAUAGAACAGGAGUGGGAAGUUUAAAAGAAAUUAGUUUGCCACUAAUGAACUUCAGUACUGAUGUCUGGAACAACAGAGAGACCUGCUUUAUAACACCAACAGUCACAUCUUCCUACCCCCUGAAGGCUAGAAGCUGCACCAGAGGAAAGGCUCCCUCCAGAAGAAAGAAACGAGAGAGGAAAAAACUGCUGCCUCCUUUCUGGGGAUUGAAAUGGAGCCAUGGUGGUCCUAUGGUCUGACCGGAGAAAGCCUACAGUACAGCCAGUAUUUUACCAUCCCAGAAGCUGAAGUGAGUUCAGAGGAUAGAUAUUGCUUCCUUCUGCCAACAGUUGUGCUGCAAAGAGGGCUGUCCCUGUGCUUAUCCUGACAGAAACAUCAAAUUGAGAGAGUUUGGAGAAGCUGAAAUUUUUAUGGUUGUGAAGCAUUCUGGUAUCCAUGCCCUCAUUCUGUUUAAAUCAGGACACUCCAACUCUAGCCUCUUUGCUAACAGACCAUAGCUUUCUCAUCCCCAAGCUCUGUAUCUUGCAGAGCCACUCGAGGCCUUUCUCAAAACAAAUCUUGCUCAGGGAUUAGGCCCUGAGAUCCAGUUGAGCACAGUUCAUUUUCUUUUAAAUGCAUUCAGUGGAUAUUCCAAAGCAGUUUUUGAUGGUAGACAUCUGUGCUGCUCACACACACCCAGGACAGCUCAGAGCAGGAUUGUCUGUGCUCAGAACUGAUGGUUGGUAGCAACUCUCAAAGCCCUGAACACUGCAUAGCAGCAGAAGCUGUCACUGCCAGAACUUUCUUCACUGCAGGGAGCUCUGUAAGUAACAUUCAGCCUAAUUUAGAAGAAAAAUGAGUUGAAUUUGCAGCAAGAGUGACUUUUCUAUAGUAGCCAAUGAAGUGGUGCUCCAGGCAGUGCUAAGAUCUCACCUGGGGCUGUGUGCAGUGACUGUGGGGACUGGGAUGGAAAUUGUUGGACAUAAAGGACAGGCUCAGAGUUGGUGAUGGAAACACAGCACAGUGGAUCACUUGCCAGGAAAUCAAGUGUUGCUUUAUCCCUCUGGAGUCAGGACUGGCUUCUUUUCUGAUAUAUUUACUAAUUUAUUUAGCUUUCCUAAUUCAUUUAUUGCCAGGUACAGAACAGUCCUUGUCUAAAAGUUCUUGUGUUUAAAGUGUCUUUAGGUUUCUCCACUGUUUUAUGCCUUCAUAACAGGUGCUUUCUAUUGCCCUCCCUGUAAGCCACUGUGGGACCUGUGA
rnacentral:lncRNA from 1 species